AAAAUUCGUUGCAAUUUAGUGAUUCAGUCGUGAACAUUGCUCCUUUGAAGUUGAGUGAUCCAAACUGCAUGGGCGACCAACUCCCUUCACUUAGAAAUUCGCUAAAAAUCCAAAUUUUCUUCAAAUUCAGAAAAAUUUGUGCCUUUCAAAGCUUAGAUUGCAAAUAUCAAUGCUUCCAAAAUUUCAAUUAAAUCCAAUUACAAGGCACUGAGAAAUGCCUUCCCAAACUCA
rnacentral:lncRNA from 1 species